UAAAAGUUCUAUUCCAUUCUAUACAAUACCAAACAUGAUAAUUCUUAUUCCGUUGUUGAUUCCAUAAUCUUUACCAAACAAAAGAAUAAAAAUUCCAUUCCAUUCCAUUCUUAUUCCCAUUCCCAUUCCAUUUUCACUUAGUAACCAAACACCACCUUAAAACUCAAUUUAAUAAACAGAAACUUUGGGAUUGGUAUAUUAUAGGAAGAAGAAAGAGUAUUAGGAUUUAGGAGAAAAAAGUCCCACAUGGAAGAAAAAGAGGAGGUGUAUGGAAAAAUAAGGGUAUAAAAGGAGUGAGUUGAGAGCUGUAAUAAGUAUCUUUGCGCUUGGGGCAAUGACGCAGCUAGUGAGGUUCUAACCGAGGCGCGUCUAUUGCUGGUUGAAAACUAUUUCCAAACCCCCUCUUAGGCCUUGGUUACGCCUAGGCCUUCGAGAAUUUCUGGAAGGGCUCCCUUUGGGGGUCAUGCAAUUACAAUUAUUGUGCUCUUCUUUAUGGGAUGUUUGACAAAAUUGAUUAAAUUUUGCACUAAAACUUUUUGGCUUUGAUUCAUUUAAGGGAAAAAUGAUAGCUAGGUUGAUUGAAUUCUUAAAAAGGACUUACUUGGCUCAUAUUGAUUGGGCUUGAAAAACUGCUUCGGCCACACACAGCAAUGCUUUUUAAAGUCAACAUUUUUUGGCAUUUUGAUUACUCAAACUGAGAAAACCGAAAUACAAAGCAUUUGUACUAAUGGGAUAUCUCUUUUUAUUUGUAAUUUCAUAGUUUCUUUGUACAAGCAAAGUUGUCUAAUUUUAUCAGGCAAAGUGACAGGUGGCUUAUCAUAAAUCAGGAAGAAAUUGAUCCACUAUCUCUUAUCUACUAGUCUGUUGUCUAUUUUAUACAUGUGAUGAAACAGUUUUAAGUUACUUUAACUUCAUUGAACAAGAUUUGGUGAUUGAGUAGCUUUAUCUAAUGGGAAACCCGAUGCUUCUGCAAGCUCUGAAAAUUCUAGCUCACCACUCAGAACCUGCCAAAUUGCACAAGCUUUAUUCAGCACUUUUAUUGAAAGGAUAAAGAUGAGCUGAAUUUUGGGAUGGGAUGGAAUGGGAGGGUCCAAUGGGGAUAUAGAUAUACCAUUAUGUUGUAGAUAAUAGAUAAGAGAUUUUAUUGGAUUAAAAUCAUAGGCAUGUGUGAUGUGAUGUGAUAUGCUUACCUUCCCAUUAAUCACCCAUGUUGGGAAACCUUCAAUUCCAACUUCUGCACAUGAUUUCUCCA